rnacentral:misc_RNA from 1 species
CGCUGACGCCACAGAAAAAGGGGACGGAGGGGAUUAAGUCGCAAGUGGCAAACAAGGCACAAGCGACUUAAUCCCCUCCGUCCCCUUUUUUCAUGCAGG